rnacentral:rRNA from 1 species
GACGAACGCUGGCGGCGUGCUUCAAACAUGCAAGUCGAACGGAGUCGAGAAGGGCUUGCCCUUCUCGACUUAGUGGCGGACGGGUGAGUAACGCGUGAGCAACCUGCCUACUACAGGGGGAUAACAGUUGGAAACGACUGCUAAUACCGCAUGAGACCACAAGGGGGCAUCUCCAAGGGGUCAAAGGAAGUUAUUCUGGUAGUAGAGGGGCUUGCGUCUCAUUAGAUAGUUGGUGGGGUAACGGCCUACCAAGUCAACGAUGAGUAGCCGAUCUGAGAGGAUGAACGGCCACACUGGAACUGAGAAACGGUCCAG